rnacentral:rRNA from 1 species
CCUACGGGCGACAGCAGUGAGGAAUAUUGGUCAAUGGGCUUACGCCUGAACCAGCCAAGUCGCGUGAGGGAAGACUGCCCUAUGGGUUGUAAACCUCUUUUGUCAGUGAGCAACGCCGGCUACGUGUAGCCGGACUGAGAGUACCUGACGAAAAAGCAUCGGCUAACUCCGUGCCAGCAGCCGCGGUAAUACGGAGGAUGCGAGCGUUAUCCGGAUUUAUUGGGUUUAAAGGGUGCGUAGGCGGAAUGCCAAGUCAGCGGUAAAAUCGCGGGGCUCAACCUCGCUCAGCCGUUGAAACUGGCGGUCUUGAGUGGGCGAGAAGUAUGCGGAAUGCGUGGUGUAGCGGUGAAAUGCAUAGAUAUCACGCAGAACGCCGAUUGCGAAGGCAGCAUACCGGCGCCCAACUGACGCUGAAGCACGAAAGCGUGGGUAUCGAACAGGAUUAGAUACCCUUGUAGUC